rnacentral:tRNA from 1 species
GGGCGAGUAGUUCAGCUCGGUUAGAAUGCUCGGUUCGCAAUCGAGAGGCCGCGGGUUCGAAUCCCGCCUCGUCCA